rnacentral:lncRNA from 1 species
UCUCCUUUGCAUCCAGGGCAUGGCCCAUGGGGCCUCUUAGGGCAGUUCCUCUUGAGGUGGCCUGGCUUUUUGCAUCGUCUCUUUCAUUGAGGGUAUGUCCUGCAUAAUCCAUCGAAGAAAGAUCACUUAGUCCAAUUGAUGAAGCCGAUGUCCUUCGCUUACUGACAGAAACACUGGCGGCACAUGUUCAGCCCAUACUUCCGGAUCAGACGGUGUCGGUUUGAGCAGACGCGGCAAGAGCAAGAGCCCUAGCCGAAUUUCCUCGGGUGGCUCCAGUAGAGCUGCUGGUGACCCAUGUUGCUUCCAGAGAGAUAAGCGACUUCUUCCAAGCUUCCUACUGCUCAGCAUAUAAGCAAGAAUCUCUCCUUUCUUUAGCCUAGAUGAAGUGACAUAAUACGCAGACUCUGGCCCCAGGAGGCUGCAGCACAGUGGCCUUUCCACAAGAAAGGGGACAAUGAGUUGAAAAUGGUGCAAGCCUUAAAACACGUGAGAUCUGCAUCGUGUCUCUGUCCUUCCUCGCAACUCUGUUCACUACUAUAAAAGACCAUUACCAACCUGUACAUAGGUGAGUUGAAGCAAACGGGCCUCUCCAUCUCCUGAGAGCUAGCUUUGAGUAAAUCUUUUUUCCUUUUUAACAAAUAUAUGUCCUUUUUUAUUAGGUUAGUGGCAAGCAAAUGAAACUGAGCUUCUAAACCUAAGUGGCCAGUAACACAACUGCCUCCCCAAAAGCUCCAUCUAGGAGUACGUGA